rnacentral:rRNA from 1 species
GUGGGGAAUCUUGCGCAAUGGGCGAAAGCCUGACGCAGCCAUGCCGCGUGAAUGAUGAAGGUCUUAGGAUUGUAAAAUUCUUUCACCGGGGACGAUAAUGACGGUACCCGGAGAAGAAGCUCCGGCUAACUUCGUGCCAGCAGCCGCGGUAAUACGAAGGGGGCUAGCGUUGCUCGGAAUUACUGGGCGUAAAGGGCGCGUAGGCGGACAGCUUAGUCAGAGGUGAAAGCCCAGGGCUCAACCUUGGAAUUGCCUUUGAUACUGGCUGUCUUGAGUUUGGGAGAGGUGAGUGGAACUCCGAGUGUAGAGGUGAAAUUCGUAGAUAUUCGGAAGAACACCAGUGGCGAAGGCGACACACUGGCCCGUUACUGACGCUGAGGCGCGAAAGCGUGGGGAGCAAACAGGAUUAGAUACCCGUGUAGUCC